GAGAGACGAGGAAGGAUCGUAGUGUGUCGAGGAGAACUUCCUCAGAGCCGUAGUCUGCUGAGGAAGUCAUGCUCAGAAUCGUAGAGACAGCCUGUCUAAGAGUCGACCGAGCAUCUGCCAAAGCCAAGUCAAGAAUCGUAGACCACACUCGGAGUCGUAGAGUCUACUUAUCAAAUGAGAGGCAGAGAUCGUAGUCGAGCUAGAUCAGAUGAAAACAACAAG
rnacentral:lncRNA from 1 species